UUUUGUGGGGUGCUCGAGUGGCGAACGGGUGAGUAACACGUGAGUAACCUGCCCUUGACUUUGGGAUAACUUCAGGAAACUGGGGCUAAUACCGGAUAGGAGCUCCCGCUGCAUGGUGGGGGUUGGAAAGUUUCGGCGGUUGGGGAUGGACUCGCGGCUUAUCAGCUUGUUGGUGGGGUAGUGGCUUACCAAGGCUUUGACGGGUAGCCGGCCUGAGAGGGUGACCGGCCACAUUGGGACUGAGAUACGGCCCAG
rnacentral:rRNA from 1 species